GUGAAUGCUGGCGGCGUGGAUAAGUCACUGCAAGUCAAGGGGGCCCGCAAGGGGCAACCCGAGCCAGGCGAACGGUAGGUAGUAACACGUGGUAGAAUCCCCCCGAAGUCGGGGCAUAGCCGAAGCCCGAAAGAGUUGGGUAAUUCCCGAUAGUCCUACGCAAGCGGGUAAAGGAUUUUCGCUUCGGGAGUUGCCUGCGAGUAUCAGCUAGUUGGUGAGGGUAACGGCCUACCAAGGCUACGACGCUUAGGGGAGCUGAGAGGCUGACCCCCACCGAUGGAACUGCGACACGGUCCAUACUCCUACGGGAGGCUGCAGACUGAGAAUAUUCCGCAAUGGGCGAAAGCCUGACGGAGCGACGCCGCGUGAUGGAUGAAGUGCUUUGGUACGUAAACAUCUUUAUCAGGGACGAAGUCAUUGACGGUACCUGAGUGAAUACAGGGGCUCCUAACUCUGUGCCAGCAGGAGCGGUAAUACAGAGGCCCCAAGCAUUACCCCGGAAUCACUGGGCGUAAAGGGUGUCUAGGCGGCCAUAUUAGUCUUUCGUUAAAUCCGUGGCCUAACCUGCGGAUUCGCGAGAGAAACGGUAUGGCUCGAGGCGCAAGAGGUGCACGGAACUCAUGGUGGAGGGGUGAAAUCCGUUGAUAUCAUGGGGAACACCAAAGGCGAAGGCAGUGUACUGGUGCGUUCCUGACGCUCAACACGAAAGCCAGGGUAGCGAACGGGAUUAGAUACCCCGGUAGUCCCUGGCCCUCAACGUUGCUCGCUUCGCUUUACGGAGUAUCGACCCUCUGUGAGGCUAAGCUAAACGCGGUAAGCGAGCCGCCUGGGGUAGUACGAUCGCAAGAUUAAAACUCAAAGGAAUAGACGGGGACUCGCACAAGCGGUGGAUUAUGCGGCUUAAUUCGUCGGUAAACGAAGAACCUUACCAAGGUUAGAAAUCCAACUGGCAAUCCUUCCCGAAAGGGAAGGAGCCCUCGAGGGUGUUGGACAGGUGAUGCAUGGUCGUCGUCAGUUCGUGGUUUGAACUGUUCCCCUUCAGUGGGGUAACGGACGCAACCCCCGUUGCCUGUUGCCUAUAUGGUCAGGCGAGACUGCUCCCUCACGGGAAGAGGAAGGUGGGGAUGACGCCAGAUCAGCAUGUCCCUCUGUACCUUGGGCUGCACGCAUAAUACAAUGGGCCGGUACAAAGCGGAUGCAAUGCCGUAAGGCGGAGCCAAUCCUUAGAAAACCGCCCCCAGUACGGAUUGAGGUCUGCAACCGACCUCAUGAAGCCGGAAUCGCUAGUAAUCCCGGGUCAGCCAAACCGGGGUGAAUACGUUCUCGAGUCUUGUACUCACCGCCCGUCAACUCAAGGGAGCUGGGGUGCCCGAAGGUCUGUCCUCGCGCAGGACUACGGCAAAUUCAGUGACAAGGAGU
rnacentral:rRNA from 1 species